UGAAGGCUCAACGCGCACACG
rnacentral:misc_RNA from 1 species